GACGAACGCUGGCGGCGUGCUUAACACAUGCAAGUCGAACGGAAAGGCCCUGCUUUUGUGGGGUGCUCGAGUGGCGAACGGGUGAGUAACACGUGAGUAACCUGCCCUUGACUUUGGGAUAACUUCAGGAAACUGGGGCUAAUACCGGAUAGGAGCUCCUGCUGCAUGGUGGGGGUUGGAAAGUUUCGGCGGUUGGGGAUGGACUCGCGGCUUAUCAGCUUGUUGGUGGGGUAGUGGCUUACCAAGGCUUUGACGGGUAGCCGGCCUGAGAGGGGGACCGGCCACAAUGGGACUGAGAUACGGCCCAGACUCCUACGGGAGGCAGCAGGGGGGAAUAUUGCACAAUGGGCGGAAGCCUGAUGCAGCAACGCCGCGUGCGGGAUGACGGCCUUCGGGUUGUAAACCGCUUUCGCCUGUGACGAAGCGUGAGUGACGGUAAUGGGUAAAGAAGCACCGGCUAACUACGUG
rnacentral:rRNA from 1 species